UAGUUGCCACUUUUGGACUAUCAAGGAGAUGUUCUCCACCACUGGAGUGAGCAAGGAAAUCUUGAGGAGGAACUGCUUCAGUCUCCAAAUUUGAUCAAGCAGGGAGAUGUCCUUCAACACUGGAUCUAAGAAGCAGUGAUUGUUGAUGAGUGGGUUCAGCUGGUGCCCAUUGAUAUUCAAGCUUUUGUGUACACUAGCACUCUUGUCUUCCACCGUGGGUGUUUGUUGAUCAAACUCAUGUGUACCUCCUGCAACAUGGUUAGUGCAAUGUGGUUCUAAAG
rnacentral:lncRNA from 1 species